rnacentral:rRNA from 1 species
UAACGAUAAAGCGGGUGAAAAGCCCGCUCGCCGGAAGACCAAGGGUUCCUGUCCAACGUUAAUCGGGGCAGGGUGAGUCGACCCCUAAGGCGAGGCCGAAAGGCGUAGUCGAUGGGAAACGGGUUAAUAUUCCCGUACUUGGUGUUACUGCGAAGGGGGGACGGAGAAGGCUAUGUUGGCCGGGCGACGGUUGUCCCGGUUUAAGCGUGUAGGUGUGUGUUCCAGGUAAAUCCGGUUCACUUUAACACUGAGGCGUGACGACGAGGCACUACGGUGCUGAAGCAACAAAUGCCCUGCUUCCAGGAAAAGCCUCUAAGCAUCAGGUAACAUCAAAUCGUACCCCAAACCGACACAGGUGGUCAGGUAGAGAAUACCAAGGCGCUUGAGAGAACUCGGGUGAAGGAACUAGGCAAAAUGGUGCCGUAACUUCGGGAGAAGGCACGCUGACACGUAGGUGAAGUGAUUUACUCAUGGAGCUGAAGUCAGUCGAAGAUACCAGCUGGCUGCAACUGUUUAUUAAAAACACAGCACUGUGCAAACACGAAAGUGGACGUAUACGGUGUGACGCCUGCCCGGUGCCGGAAGGUUAAUUGAUGGGGUCAGCGCAAGCGAAGCUCCUGAUCGAAGCCCCGGUAAACGGCGGCCGUAACUAUAACGGUCCUAAGGUAGCGAAAUUCCUUGUCGGGUAAGUUCCGACCUGCACGAAUGGCGUAAUGAUGGCCAGGCUGUCUCCACCCGAGACUCAGUGAAAUUGAACUCGCUGUGAAGAUGCAGUGUACCCGCGGCAAGACGGAAAGACCCCGUGAACCUUUACUAUAGCUUGACACUGAACAUUGAGCCUUGAUGUGUAGGAUAGGUGGGAGGCUUUGAAGCGUGGACGCCAGUCUGCGUGGAGCCGACCUUGAAAUACCACCCUUUAAUGUUUGAUGUUCUAACGUGGACCCGUUACCCGGGUUGCGGACAGUGUCUGGUGGGUAGUUUGACUGGGGCGGUCUCCUCCUAAAGAGUAACGGAGGAGCACGAAGGUUGGCUAAUCCUGGUCGGACAUCAGGAGGUUAGUGCAAUGGCAUAAGCCAGCUUGACUGCGAGCGUGACGGCGCGAGCAGGUGCGAAAGCAGGUCAUAGUGAUCCGGUGGUUCUGAAUGGAAGGGCCAUCGCUCAACGGAUAAAAGGUACUCCGGGGAUAACAGGCUGAUACCGCCCAAGAGUUCAUAUCGACGGCGGUGUUUGGCACCUCGAUGUCGGCUCAUCACAUCCUGGGGCUGAAGUAGGUCCCAAGGGUAUGGCUGUUCGCCAUUUAAAGUGGUACGCGAGCUGGGUUUAGAACGUCGUGAGACAGUUCGGUCCCUAUCUGCCGUGGGCGCUGGAGAACUGAGGGGGGCUGCUCCUAGUACGAGAGGACCGGAGUGGACGCAUCACUGGUGUUCGGGUUGUCAUGCCAAUGGCACUGCCCGGUAGCUAAAUGCGGAAGAGAUAAGUGCUGAAAGCAUCUAAGCACGAAACUUGCCCCGA